rnacentral:rRNA from 1 species
CCUACGGGAGACAGCAGUGAGGAAUAUUGGUCAAUGGACGGAAGUCUGAACCAGCCAUGCCGCGUGCAGGAAGACGGCUCUAUGAGUUGUAAACUGCUUUUGUACAAGGGUAAACCUGAAUACGUGUAUUCAGCUGAAAGUACUGUACGAAUAAGGAUCGGCUAACUCCGUGCCAGCAGCCGCGGUAAUACGGAAGGUCCGGGCGUUAUCCGGAUUUAUUGGGUUUAAAGGGAGCGUAGGCCGGCUUUUAAGUCAGCUGUGAAAGUCCGCGGCUCAACCGUGGAAUUGCAGUUGAAACUGGAGGCCUUGAGUGCACACAGGGAUGCCGGAAUUCAUGGUGUAGCGGUGAAAUGCUUAGAUAUCAUGAAGAACUCCGAUCGCGAAGGCAAGUGUCCGGGGUGCAACUGACGCUGAGGCUCGAAAGUGCGGGUAUCAAACAGGAUUAGAUACCCCUGUAGUC